GGGCUUCACCAUUUUGGCCAGGCUGGUCUUGAACUCCUGACCUUGCUAUCCACCCACCUCGGCCCCCCAAAGUGCUGGGAUUACAGGCGUGAGCCACUGUGCCUGGCUGACAUCUGCACUGUCAUAGGGGAUCGCUCAGAGUGGUGGGAAAAACUACAGGGAAAGGAUGCAAAACUUCUGAAAGGUCAGAAGGUUCUGCAGAGCCCUGGGGGAGAAUGACUGAGGGCAGCUGUUCUAUAACCCUGAGGCAGAGGGCAAGGAGCAGGUACAAGGGAGUGUGGGGGAUUUUAUCUUAAACAAGCUUGUUAUGUUGACCAGGAACUGACUUUUGAUCAUCUGCGCACAUGAAGUUCCCUGAAAGGGGAACAAUAAAUGUUAAUUACCUACAGGUUGUGUUGGCUCCAGGUUUUUGGCAUUGUGCCUGCACUGAAUAAAAGCAAGCAGCUCCAGUUCUCGGGGCUGAACUCCGGCCACUUGAGCUGCUCUUACACUGUAUACCUGUGUCUGAGUACUCAGUUCAUCCACCAGUCAGGGUCUGUGGGACAGACUAGGCAGGUGGUGCCCCGUGUGAGGAGCAGCGCAGUGGAUCAUGAUGGAACCCUCGAAAAUGAACGUGAAGUGACUGCGCAGUCCUCUUGGGAUUCCAGUGCAAUGCAUCAAACCAUACCAUGGCAUGGCUGGGACCCAAUGCAGUACUGGAAAUGAAGAAUGUGAGCCUGUAGGACCCGCAGCCCCGGACAAUGCAGCUUCCUCGGACAACACAGGUCCCGGAUGGGGAAUGUGAAAUAGACAACUGGGGGAUGCUAAAUAAGACAACUCAGGAGGCUAAGUGAAUCACAGACACCAUUCACUCCAGAUAAUCUGUUCCUUGCUAUGCUGUCUGUUGUACAUUGCAACUCUUGUAAGGAUGCAAAGCUGGAACACAAGCUGUAACCGCUGCACCUGUCAAACCUGUCGCUGCACACAUCUGUACGCUUCAAUCAACUAAACCUGAUGCAAAAAACAGAAAAGGGAGAGAUGUAGGGGAUCACUCAGAGUGGUGGGAAAAACUAUAGGGAAAGGACACAAACCUUCUGAAAGGUUGGAAGGGUCUGCAGAGCCCCUGGGGAGAAUAGCUGGAAGCAGCUGUUCUAUAACCCUGAGACAGAGGGCAAGGAGUAGAUACAAGGGAGUGUGGGGGGAAUUGAUCUUAAACAAUCUUGUUAUGUUGACCAGGAACUGACCUUUGAUCAUCCCUGCAUGUGAAGUUCCCUGAAAGGGGAACAAUAAAUGUUAAUUACCUUCAGGUUGUGUUGGCUCCAGGUUUUCAGCAUUGCACCUGCCCUGAAUAAAAGCAAGCAGCUCCAGCUUCCCAGGGCUGCGCUCUGGCCACUUGCACCAGGCAGUCCUCUGGCUGCUCUUACAUUGCAUACCUAUGUCUGAGUACUCAUUUCAUCUGUCAGCCGGGGUCUGCAGGACAGACCUGGCACAUUGUAGCCCUAGCACCCCAUGAAUCGAAGGGAUUGCACUUUUCCAGAAACCAAGAACUGAUUGGAUGGGGGCUGAUCAAAGUGGUAUUAGAACCUUACUCCCUGCCUCUUAAAUAAUGCUCUACCCCUCCUAGCCCCUAACUCCUUGGUCCUGGCCUUUAAUAACAUGUGAGAAACUGAAGAAGGUCCCCAAAAAGUAAUGCGAAGGACACAGAGGUCAGAAGGGGACAGAAGAAGAAAGGGGAGGCUGAGGGGAGGCCAGAAGCCCCGUGACAGAUGUGGAGCAAGACAUUGACCUGUUGAUCCCACCGCCUCAGAGGCCAGCAGGAAGAAAUGAGCCGCACUGAGGAAAGUCCACACAGAAAGUGGUUCCCAAGGGAAGGUGAGGGAUUCCAUCUGGGGGAACAGAAAUUAGAAUCAGCAACCAAACAUGAGUCCAGGUUCUGGGCUCAGACCCUCGUGGACUGCUAUUGAGGCACAAAUGACAAAUCUAAACUGCUAUGGAAUGGCAUGAAUGUGGCGAUUUGAAGUGUUCUGAAAUCUAGGAAAGGGAAGUGGGCAAGCCCCAUGGCAGGGCACUCAGAAUCUCCAGGAGGCUCUUCUCAGAGAACAAACACCCCACAUGAAAACCUAUUUGAGAAUUACCCACCUA
rnacentral:lncRNA from 10 species